rnacentral:rRNA from 1 species
UACGUAGGGUGCGAGCGUUAAUCGGAAUUACUGGGCGUAAAGCGUGCGCAGGCGGUUCGUUGUGUCCGUCGUGAAAGCCCCGGGCUUAACCUGGGAACUGCGAUGGAAACUAGCGAGCUGGAGUGUGGCAGAGGGGGGUGGAAUUCCGCGUGUAGCAGUGAAAUGCGUAGAGAUGCGGAGGAACACCGAUGGCGAAGGCAGCCCCCUGGGCUAACACUGACGCUCAGGCACGAAAGCGUGGGGAGCAAACAGGAUUAGAA